rnacentral:lncRNA from 1 species
GGGGUCGGGGUGAGAGAGACAAAGGAAGGGAAAGACACUGAGGACAUCCAGACAGAAAUGCACAGAUCACAGAUUAUACGUAGAUACAGCCCACCAUACGGGUCACGCUAACAAAUGACAUAAUGUCCUAAGGGGUGUGAUGAACUGUCUUAGGAACUGGAUGAAGGAGGGGUUAAUUCUGCCUAGGAGGCGGGAUACAGAAAAGAGGUGCCUCAGUGUCCUCACACAACAGCAGAAGACGGAGGCAGCGAGGAUCCACUCACAAGAGGAGGAAGCGCUCUCCAUGGACUCUGUGUCCACGCUCUGGGCCAGCCUCUUGCCUAUGUCACCUUCCCUCCUCUGUGCCUAAAAACAGAGGCACGCGCCUAGAGGCCAGGUAAAGCUGGUAAAAUAAAACCAUUUGUCC